GCACCGGGCCCUUCGGGGUGCCGGCAGUGGCGAACGGGUGCUAAUGCUUCGGAACGUGCCCGGGAGUGGGGGAUAACCGGCCGAAAGGCUGGCUAAUACCGCAUGAACUCGGAAGAGCAAAGCGGGGGACCUUUGGGCCUCUCGCUCUCGGAGCGGCCGAUGUCCGAUUAGCUAGUUGGUGAGGUAAAGGCUCACCAAGGCGACGAUCGGUAGCGGGUCUGAGAGGACAAUCCGCCACACUGGGACUGANACACGGCCCACACUCCUACGGGAGGCAGCAGUGGGGAAUCUCGGACAAUGGGCGCAAGCCUGAUCCAGCAAUGCCGCGUGGGUGAAGAAGGCCUUCGGGUUGUAAAGCCCUUUCGGCGGGGAAGAAAUCGGCCGGGCGAAUAGUUCGGCUGGAUGACGGUACCCGCAGAAGAAGCACCGGCUAACUACGUGCCAGCAGCCGCGGUUAAUACGUAGGGUGCGAGCGUUAAUCGGAAUUACUGGGCGUAAAGGGUGCGCAGGCGGCUGUGUAACACCGGUGUGAAAUCCCCGGGUCUCAACCUGGGAAUGGCGCUG
rnacentral:rRNA from 1 species